rnacentral:lncRNA from 1 species
AUAAGAGAUUGUAGAUCUGUAUUGCCAAUGUAUAUGUAUUAAUUGUAAUUAUUAAGAGCAGGAGUUUUUAAUUUGUGGUUGAUCCAUGGACUUGUAAGUUAACAUUAGCUAGCAGUUAAAGUUAGUGAAAAUGCUGUUUUUGAGGGGGUUGGGAGUCUAAUAAAGAGCAUCUAGACUUAUUUCCAUUAGGAAAUUCCAGCUUUAUUUUGUAAUACUAAGUAUGACUAUUGAUGACUUUUUUUUGUCAGUUCUCUUAUUCUGUAGUCUACUUCUUUUACAUUUGAGGUAGAGAAUGUGUGGUGAUGAAUUUUAGGUAUCUUUGGUGGGGAGGGUGCUUUUUGGUUUUGAGAGCAAGUGGUCAAUUUGACUCACAUGAUUCCUGUGCUGGUAUCAUGGGAGCAUACAGAUGAGUCACUAAUGAGGUGCCUUACAUAGUACUGUAUCUUUUUGGUGCUGCAGAAAGCUAGUUGUCUGACAUUUUUUACCAGAGAGUUGUUGUAAAACCAAGUAAGGUUUCUUAUAAGUUGUAUAUAUUUUAAGUUAAUAUCUGAAAGAAAUGCCUGCUAGAGUAAUUACUAGAGUGCUUGACUAUGUCGCAUUUUUUAAAGCUAUGUGGAUGGAAGAGCAAUUGUUAUUUGUAAAUGUAUAA